UAGUCUGUUUCAGUGUGUGACCCCCCACCCCCUCCCUGAUCAGUCGGGGGUGAGUGCGCUAAUGUGCCUGGAGGCCGUUUUAAUGAGUGUUUGCUGGAAAACGAAAAAUACAAGAAGGAUUUGUACGUUUUCACAACGGGGGAGUUUGCUAAACUUUGACCACUUCCAGAUACUGCGGGCCAUCGGGAAAGGAAGCUUUGGAAAGGAGAAGCGUGGAGACGAGAGGGCAGCGAGCACGGGGUGCUCAGACACUGAGGAGCGGAGACAAGGAACACUAGCACUGGGAAGAGGACAUUUCACGGGAGUCGGGAACGCACUGCGGAUUUAUUGUUAUUUUCCAUUCACUGUAAAUAAACGCACUGCUUGCAUUCAGAGCUCCGUGCCUGGCUCCUCCUUCCUC